UCAGGUGGCCGCAGAGAAUAGGCCCAAGCGACUGUUUACCAAAAACAUAGGUUUCUGCUAAGUCGCAAGACGAUGUAUAGGAGCUGACGCCUGCCCGGUGCUGGAAGGUUAAGGGGAUCUGUUAGAGCAAUCGAAGCAGUGAACUUAAGCCCCAGUAAACGGCGGCCGUAACUAUACCGGUCCUAAGGUAGCGAAAUUCCUUGUCGGGUAAGUUCCGACCCGAACGAAAGGCGUAACGAUUUGGGCACUGUCUCAACAACAGACUCGGUGAAAUUGUAAUUCCGGUGAAGUUGCCGGAUACCUGCGACAGGACGGCAAGACCCCAUGGAGCUUUACUGUAGCUUGACCGUUGGUCUUGGUGAGCCAUGUACCGGAUUCGUGGGAUGCCUUAGAACGAGGACGCCACGAUUGUCCGAGUCUACCCUGGGAUACCCCCCUUGUAAGAAG
rnacentral:rRNA from 1 species